GCCUCAGUAGAGACUAAAGCCCCUUUCCGACUGUAGGGACCUUUUGCAGUUCCUAUGACCUUUUCAGGAACCUGGCCGUUUUUUCAGCGUA